GAUGAAGAACGUAGCGAAAUGCGAUAAGUAAUGCGAAUUGCAGAAUUUCCGUGAGUCAUCGAAUCUUUGAACGCACAUUGCGCCCUUUGGCAUUCCGAAGGGCAUGCCUGUUCGAGCGUCAUUUACCAACCCUCAAGCCCGGCUUGCGGUUGGGUCCCGCCGUGGGCGACCACGGCGGACCCGAAAGGUAAUGACGGUGCCCGUGGGGCCCUGGACGCAGCGAGCUUCUCGGCACGCGUCCCGGCGGUCCCCGGCGCCGUCUCCACCAAUCCACCACGCAGAUUGACCUCGGAUCAGGUAGGGAUACCCGCUGAACUUAAGCAUAUCAAUAAGCGGAGGA
rnacentral:misc_RNA from 1 species